rnacentral:rRNA from 2 species
GAGUUUGAUCGUGGCUCAGAGCGAACGCUGGCGGCAGGCUUAACACAUGCAAGUCGAGCGGGCACUUCGGUGUCAGCGGCAGACGGGUGAGUAACACGUGGGAACGUGCCCUUCGGUUCGGAAUAACUCAGGGAAACUUGAGCUAAUACCGGAUACGCCCUUUUGGGGAAAGGUUUACUGCCGAAGGGUCGGCCCGCGUCUGAUUAGCUUGUUGGUGGGGUAGCGGCCUACCAAGGCGACGAUCAGUAGCUGGUCUGAGAGGAUGAUCAGCCACACUGGGACUGAGACACGGCCCAGACUCCUACGGGAGGCAGCAGUGGGGAAUAUUGGACAAUGGGCGAAAGCCUGAUCCAGCAAUGCCGCGUGAGUGAAGAAGGCCUUCGGUUG